GGAGAGUAUUCCUGUAUUGGUACAAGGGGUGUGGUCUGCUGAUACAGCAGCACAGCUGGAAGCUACUACUCAAUUUAGAAAGCUAUUAUCUAUUGAGCGUAGCCCCCCGAUUGAUGAAGUAAUCAAAGCUGGUGUAGUUCCCAAGUUUGUGGAGUUUCUUGGAAGGCAUGAUCUACCCCAGUUGCAAUUUGAAGCUGCAUGGGCCUUAACCAAUAUUGCAU
rnacentral:misc_RNA from 1 species